GCCAGACUCCUACGGGAGGCAGCAGUGGGGCCUCUUGGGCAAUGGCUGCCCGUCUGACCCAGCCCCGCCGCGUGCCGGCAGAAGGCUUUCGGGUUGUAAACUUCUUUUAAGGGGGACGAGCAGAAGAAGGUACCCCUUGAAUAAGCCACGGCUAACUACGUGCCAGCAGCCGCGGUCAUACGUAGGAUCCGAGCAUUAUCCGGAGUGACUGGGUGUAAAGAGUUGCGGAGGUGGCAUAGUAAGUAGCUAGUGAAAUCUGGUGGCUCAACCAUUCAGACUAUUAACUAAACUGCUAAGCUCGAGACCGUUAGGGUUAACUGGAAUUUCUAGUGUAGGAGUGAAAUCCGUAGAUAUUAGAAGGAACACCGAUAGCGGAGGCAGGUUACUGGGACGGUUCUGACACUAAGGCACGAACGCGUAGGGAGCACACGGGAUUAGAUACCCCUGUAA
rnacentral:rRNA from 1 species